rnacentral:lncRNA from 1 species
AUUACAAAGGACUACACAAUAACAGUUGGAUCUUAGCUUUAAAAUAAAACUACAUGGUUAUCAUGAUAAUAAAAUAUAAGUCAGAUAGAACUACCUUUUCUCUAAUUUUGACCUUUACAGUUAUUGUAACCUACUUCUCAAUAUGUAUCAUCUUCAGGUUGAAAAUGAUAUCAUUACUUAUACAUGUUAUAGUCAUGGAGGUAUGAUUUGAUUGGUUGGUGUUUAACGCCACUUUCAGCACUAUUAAUACUAGUACUUAUAGUCAUGGAGAUAUGAUUUGAUUGAUCGGUGUUUAACGCCACUUUCAGCACUAUUGAUCCCAGAACUUAUAGUCAUGGAGAUAUGAUUUGAUUUGAUUGGUUGGUGUUUAACGCCACUUUCAGCACUAUUGAUCCCAGAACUUAUAGUCAUGGAGAUAUGAUUUGAUUUGAUUGAUUGGUGUUUAACAUCACUUUCAGCACUGUUGAUACCAGUUCUUAUAGUCAUGGAGAUAUGAUUUGAAUGAUUGAUAGUUGUUUGACGCCACUUUCAGCACUAUUGAUACUUGUACUUAUAGUCAUGAAGAUAUGAUUUGAUUGAUCGGUGUUUAACGCCACUUUCAGCACUAUUGAUACCAGUUCUUAUGGUCAUGGAGAUAUGAUUUGAAUAAUUGAUAGUUGUUUGACGCCACUUUCAGCACUAUUGAUACUAGUACUUAUAGUCAUGGAGAUUUGAUUUGAUUGAUUGGUGUUUAACGCCACUUUCAGCACUAUUGAUACUAGUAUUUAAAGUCAUGGAGAUACAUGUACGAAUUCAGAUGUAAAACUUAAAAAAGGCAGUACUAGUGUGAACUUUCUACAUUUUAUGUUCAAGAUAUUAAGUAUU